rnacentral:misc_RNA from 1 species
ACAACCUUCAAGCGUAGCUUGGUAUUGGGCUCUCGCUGCUCCCUUCGGGGGCGGCGUGCCCGAAAAGCAGUGGCGAUCCCCGGGGAUUUCGCGCGUAGUAAAUCUUCCGCGUUGGAAACUUCCGCUCGGAAUCCGCCAGACAACCCCCAUGAAUUCUCCAUA